UUGCACAGUGAACACCCAAGUGUACUUUAUAGUAUUCUUGGCCUUGACUCUGUGUCAGAGUAAAGUCUGCUCUUUUCCUCUACAUUGAAAGGAGUGCUGCCCUUUUAAAUGUAUUCAGAAAAUGAGUACAUUA
rnacentral:snoRNA from 1 species